GGAGUUUAAGCAUUUUUAGUCACAGGAUGAGAUAGGAAGUUGGCAGGACUGGUAUCACAAGAUACAGGUCAGUCAUAAAGAUCCUACUGAUAAAACAGGAUGCAGUAAAGAAGCCGGCCAAAACCAAGAAUACCGUGAAAGUGACCCGGGUCGUCCUCACUGUUCAUUACAUGUAAUUAUAAUGCAUUAGCAUGCUAAAAGACACUCCCACCAGUGCCAUCACAGUUUACAGAUGCCAUGGUAACAACUGGAACUUACUCUAUAUGGCUUAAGAAGGGGAGGAACCCUCAGCUGGGGGGGGAAUCUCCACCCCUUUCCCAGAAAACUCACGAAUAAUCUAUCAUUUGUUUAGCAUAUGAUCAAAAAAUAACCAUAAAAAUAGCCAACCAGCAGCCUUUGGGGCUGCUCUGCCUAUGGAAUAGCCAUCCUUUGUUUCUUUACUUCUCUAAUAAACCUGCUUUCACUUUACUCUGUGGACUUGCCCAGAAUUCUCUCUUGUGCAAGAUCCAAGAACUCUCUCUUGGGGUCUGGGUAGGGACGCCCUUUCCAGUAACACUUCCACAGAGAAGAAGGCCCUGGUUCCCAGACACCGUCAGGGAAUCAGCUGUAGCAGAAUCAUCUGGAGAGGUUUUGAGAGUCAGUCCCGGCAAGAAAGGAUUCCUCAGAGGCAAUUCAGGAGGGAAAUGGAAUUCCUCUGGAAAUACACAUCAUGGAAGCUUGAGUUCUUUUGGGUGGCUGGAGUUAAAUCUCUGAUUCCAAAAAGGUAAAAGACUUGAAAAGUAAACUACAAAUACAGAUUUUCUUUCUGUGUCCUGUCUGUC
rnacentral:lncRNA from 1 species